UGACCUCGGAUCAGACGUGAUUACCCGCUGAAUUUAAGCAUAUUAUUAAGCGGAGGAAA
rnacentral:ncRNA from 1 species